rnacentral:rRNA from 1 species
GUCUGAAUAUGGGGGGACCAUCCUCCAAGGCUAAAUACUCCUGACUGACCGAUAGUGAACCAGUACCGUGAGGGAAAGGCGAAAAGAACCCCGGCGAGGGGAGUGAAAAAGAACCUGAAACCGUGUACGUACAAGCAGUGGGAGCCCCACCACUAAGCCAGUGGUGAACUCCACAUCCGCAUCCUUUGCUGAGGAUACGGUUAACGGAGCGAAAGCGACGUUCAACCGCAAAACAAGCAGAGGGGGCUUAGUGGUGGGGUGACUGCGUACCUUUUGUAUAAUGGGUCAGCGACUUAUAUUCUGUAGCAAGGUUAACCGAAUAGGGGAGCCGGAGGGAAACCGAGUCUUAAUUGGGCGUUAAGUUGCAGGGUAUAGACCCGAAACCCGGUGAUCUAGCCAUGGGCAGGUUGAAGGUUGGGUAACACUAACUGGAGGACCGAACCGACUAAUGUUGAAAAAUUAGCGGAUGACCUGUGGCUGGGGGUGAAAGGCCAAUCAAACCGGGAGAUAGCUGGUUCUCCCCGAAAGCUAUUUAGGUAGCGCCUCGUGAAUUCAUCUCCGGGGGUAGAGCACUGUUUCGGCUAGGGGGCCAUCCCGGCUUACCAACCCGAUGCAAACUGCGAAUACCGGAGAAUGUUAUCACGGGAGACACACGGCGGGUGCUAACGUCCGUCGUGAAGAGGGAAACAACCCAGACCGCCAGCUAAGGUCCCAAAGUCAUGGUUAAGUGGGAAACGAUGUGGGAAGGCCCAGACAGCCAGGAUGUUGGCUUAGAAGCAGCCAUCAUUUAAAGAAAGCGUAAUAGCUCACUGGUCGAGUCGGCCUGCGCGGAAGAUGUAACGGGGCUAAACCAUGCACCGAAGCUGCGGCAGCGAACGUAUCACCCAAGACAACUUUACGGAGUUGACGAUUGACGGAGCGAAGCGACGUCAAAGCGUUCAUUAAAGUCGAGUUGGCUUAGGGAUACGUUCGUUGGGUAGGGGAGCGUUCUGUAAGCCUGUGAAGGUGUGUCGUGAGGCAUGCUGGAGGUAUCAGAAGUGCGAAUGCUGACAUAAGUAACGAUAAAGCGGGUGAAAAGCCCGCUCGCCGGAAGACCAAGGGUUCCUGUCCAACGUUAAUCGGGGCAGGGUGAGUCGACCCCUAAGGCGAGGCCGAAAGGCGUAGUCGAUGGGAAACGGGUUAAUAUUCCCGUACUUGGUGUUACUGCGAAGGGGGGACGGAGAAGGCUAUGUUGGCCGGGCGACGGUUGUCCCGGUUUAAGCGUGUAGGUGUGUGUUCCAGGUAAAUCCGGUUCACUUUAACACUGAGGCGUGACGACGAGGCACUACGGUGCUGAAGCAACAAAUGCCCUGCUUCCAGGAAAAGCCUCUAAGCAUCAGGUAACAC